rnacentral:misc_RNA from 1 species
GUUUCUUAAAUUAUGAAUAAUACGUCAUAAACCUAUUAUAGCCACAUGAUAAACUUUUAAAUUUAGUGCCACUCCCUGCAAUCUUUGAUCAAGAGACUAACUACUAAUCAUACCCUCAAACAUUUCCAAAAUACAAAAAAGAAAAACAAAAGAAUCAGAGCUAAGGUUGUAUUGGGAGCUGGGAGAGACAACACCCAGGAGGCCAGGAUUAUCAAAGGGUAAAAUCGAUAACUUCAG